CACGGGGCUGAAGACUUCCUCGGGCGACACGGCCUGGUCGAUGUGAGGGCAGUCCUCAUUGGCCAGGGCAGCUUUGGACGCCUCCCCGUUCACUUUAAAAUCUCCAAUCACAGUGUAAGUCAACGGGGUCCAAAACGUUCCACAGAGAAAGGAAAGAAGGUCUUAUAGGUGACAUGAAGUUCUGCCUGCAACCUGCCUGCUUUCAUCUUGGAGGCCGGCCAUCUCCGAUUCUGAAAGUGCCAAAGCGGUGGGCUAGGGUCAGCAGUGCUGACCUGUUUUAACCUGUCUGGCAAAACUCAAGGGUACGCUGGGAUGGCGAUUAAGAGCUUACAGGGUUCUUGCUGAGAGCGAUGAUGGGACUUUGGGUGAGGUUGCGGCUUGUCCCACAUCAGAACGAGUGACCGGACGUUAGUGGCAGCUUGAAACGUGAACUGAACAAGAAACUGACCAAACAUGAUCUGGAUAUGAGUUUUUCUAAACCCUUGACAAGCCAGCAACCCAGAGAAACGAUUUUAUUGCUCAGAAGGUUUG